UCCUACGGGGCGCAGCAGUGGGGGAUAUUGCACAAUGGGGGGAACCCUGAUGCAGCGACGCCGCGUGGGUGAAGAAGCGCCUCGGCGCGUAAAGCCCUGUCAGCAGGGAAGAAAAUGACGGUACCUGAAGAAGAAGCCCCGGCUAACUACGUGCCAGCAGCCGCGGUAAUACGUAGGGGGCAAGCGUUAUCCGGAUUUACUGGGUGUAAAGGGGGCGCAGACGGCGAUGCAAGCCAGGAGUGAAAGCCCACGGCCCAACCGUGGGACUGCUCUGGAAACUGUGCGGCUUGAGUGCGGGAGGGGCG
rnacentral:rRNA from 1 species